rnacentral:rRNA from 1 species
UCCUACGGGACGCAGCAGUAGGUAAUUUUCGGCAAUUUUUUUCCCCCUGACCGAGCAACGCCGCGUGAAGGAAGAAGGAAUUCGUUCUGUAAACUUCUGUUAUAAAGGAAGAAAGGCGGAUGAAGGAAAUGACAUCCGAGUGACGGUACUUUACGAGAAAGCCACGGCUAACUACGUGCCAGCAGCCGCGGUAAUACGUAGGUGGCAAGCGUUAUCCGGAAUUAUUGGGCGUAAAGAGGGAGCAGGCGGCAGCAAAGGUCUGUGGUGAAAGACUGAAGCUUAACUUCAGUAAGCCAUAGAAACCA